AUUGAACGCUGGCGGCAGGCCUAACACAUGCAAGUCGAGCGAGCGGCGGACGGGUGAGUAAUGUAUGGGGACUGCCCGAUAGAGGGGGAUAACUACUGGAAACGGUGGCUAAUACCGCAUACUAUCGGAUAACCCAUAUGGGAUUAGUUAGUAGGUGGGGUAAAGGCUAACCUAGGAGACGAUCUCUAGUGGGUCGGAGAGGAUGAUCAGCCACACUGGGACUGAGACACGUCCCAGAUGCCUACGGAGGCAGCAGUGGGUAAUAUUGGACAAUGUGCGCAAGCCUGAUGCAGCCAUGCCGCGUGUAUGAAGAAGGCCUUAGGGUUGUAAAGUACUUUCAGCGGGGAGGCGUUACCCGCAGAAGAAGCACCGGCUAACUCCGUGCCAGCAGCCGCGGUAAUAC
rnacentral:rRNA from 1 species